rnacentral:rRNA from 1 species
UACGGAGGAUGCGAGCGUUAUCCGGAUUUAUUGGGUUUAAAGGGUGCGCAGGCGGCGUGUCAAGUCAGCGGUAAAAUGUCGGGGCUCAACCCCGGCCGGCCGUUGAAACUGGCGUGCUCGAGUUGGAGAGAAGUAUGCGGAAUUCGUGGUGUAGCGGUGAAAUGCAUAGAUAUCACGAAGAACCCCGAUUGCGAAGGCAGCAUACCGGCUCCACACUGACGCUGAGGCACGAAAGCGUGGGUACCGAACAGG